rnacentral:rRNA from 1 species
GAUGAACGCUGGCGGCGUGCCUAAUACAUGCAAGUCGAGCGAACGGUCGAGAAGCUUGCUUCUCUGAUGUUAGCGGCGGACGGGUGAGUAACACGUGGAUAACCUACCUAUAAGACUGGGAUAACUUCGGGAAACCGUAGCUAAUACCGGAUAAUAUUUUGAACCGCAUGGUUCAAAAGUGAAAGACGGUCUUGCUGUCACUUAUAGAUGGAUCCGCGCUGCAUUAGCUAGUUGGUAAGGUAACGGCUUACCGAGGCAACGAUGCAUAGCCGACCUGAGAGGGUGAUCGGACACACUGGAACUGAGACACGGUCCAGACUCCUACGGGAGGCAGCAGUAGGGAAUCUUCCGCAAUGGGCGAAAGCCUGACGGAGCAACGCCGCGUGAGUGAUGAAGGUCUUCGGAUCGUAAAACUCUGUUAUUAGGGAAGAACAUAUGUGUAAGUAACUGUGCACAUCUUGACGGUACCUAAUCAGAAAGCCACGGCUAACUACGUG